rnacentral:rRNA from 1 species
CCGGCGAUACCCGAAUGGGGAAACCCAGUGUGACUCGUCACACUAUCAUUAACUGAAUCCAUAGGUUAAUGAGGCGAACCGGGGGAACUGAAACAUCUAAGUACCCCGAGGAAAAGAAAUCAACCGAGAUUCCCCCAGUAGCGGCGAGCGAACGGGGAGGAGCCCAGAGCCUGAAUCAGCAUGUGUGUUAGUGGAAGCGUCUGGAAAGGCGCGCGAUACAGGGUGACAGCCCCGUACACAAAAGCGCAUGUGCUGUGAGCUCGAUGAGUAGGGCGGGACACGUGGUAUCCUGUCUGAAUAUGGGGGGACCAUCCUCCAAGGCUAAAUACUCCUGACUGACCGAUAGUGAACCAGUACCGUGAGGGAAAGGCGAAAAGAACCCCGGCGAGGGGAGUGAAAAAGAACCUGAAACCGUGUACGUACAAGCAGUGGGAGCCCCACCACUAAGCCAGUGGUGAACUCCACAUACGCAUCCUUUGCUGAGGAUACGGUUA